rnacentral:rRNA from 1 species
UACGUAGGUGGCAAGCGUUGUCCGGAUUUACUGGGCGUAAAGAGCGCGCAGGCGGUCGUUCAAGUCGCGUGUGAAAGCCCCCGGUUCAACUGGGGAGGGUCACGCGAUACUGACCGACUCGAAGGCAGGAGAGGAAGAUGGAAUUCCCGGUGUAGCGGUGAAAUGUGUAGAGAUCGGGAGGAACACCGGUGGCGAAGGCGGUCUUCUGGACGGUGACUGACGCUGAGGCGCGAAAGCGUGGGGAGCAAACGGG